UACAUGGGGUGCAAACGUUGCUCGGAAUUAUUGGGCGUAAAGCGCACGUAGGCGGUUCGUUAAGUCGGAUGUGAAAGCCCUCGGCUCAACUGAGGAAGUGCACCCGAAACUGGCGAGCUUGAGUACGAAAGAGGAUCGCGGAAUUCCCGGUGUAGAGGUGAAAAUUCGUAGAUAUCGGGAGGAACACCGGUGGCAAAGGCGGCGAUCUGGGUCGAUACUGACGCUGAGGUGCGAAAAGCGUGGGGAGCAAACAGG
rnacentral:rRNA from 1 species